CAGCAGCCGCGGGAAUACGGAGGGGGCUAGCGUUGUUCGGAAUUACUGGGCGUAAAGCGCACGUAGGCGGCUGUGUAAGUCAGAGGUGAAAGCCCGGGGCUCAACCCCGGAAUAGCCUUUGAGACUGCAUAGCUUGAACACGGGAGAGGUGAGUGGAAUUCCGAGUGUAGAGGUGAAAUUCGUAGAUAUUCGGAAGAACACCAGUGGCGAAGGCGGCUCACUGGACCGUUGUUGACGCUGAGGUGCGAAAGCGUGGGGAGCAGACAGGAUUAGAUACCCCUGUAGUCCCUGUCUCUUAUAC
rnacentral:rRNA from 1 species